GUGGGGAAUAUUGGACAAUGGGCGAAAGCCUGAUCCAGCCAUGCCGCGUGUGUGAAGAAGGUCUUCGGAUUGUAAAGCACUUUAAGUUGGGAGGAAGGGCAGUAAGUUAAUACCUUGCUGUUUUGACGUUACCGACAGAAUAAGCACCGGCUAACUUCGUGCCAGCAGCCGCGGUAAUACGAAGGGUGCAAGCGUUAAUCGGAAUUACUGGGCGUAAAGCGCGCGUAGGUGGUUCAGCAAGUUGGAGGUGAAAUCCCCGGGCUCAACCUGGGAACUGCCUCAAAAACUACUGAGCUAGAGUACGGUAGAGGGUAGUGGAAUUUCCUGUGUAGCGGUGAAAUGCGUAGAGAUAGGAAGGAACACCAGUGGCGAAGGCGACUACCUGGACUGAUACUGACACUGAGGUGCGAAAGCGUGGGGAGCAAACAGGAUUAGAAACCCCAGUAGUCC
rnacentral:rRNA from 1 species